GAUGAAGAACGUAGCGAAAUGCGAUAAAUAAUGUGAAUUGCAGAAUUCAGUGAAUCAUCGAGUCUUUGAACGCACAUUGCGCCCCCUGGUAUUCCGGGGGGCAUGCCUGUCCGAGCGUCAUUGCUGCCCUCAAGCACGGCUUGUGUGUUGGGCCUCCGUCCUCCUCCCGGGGGACGGGCCCGAAAGGCAGCGGCGGCACCGCGUCCGGUCCUCGAGCGUAUGGGGCUUCGUCACCCGCUCUUGUAGGCCCGGCCGGCGCUUGCCGACACAUCAAUCUUUUUUCCAGGUUGACCUCGGAUCAGGUAGGGAUACCCGCUGAACUUAAGCAUAUCAAUAAGCGGAGGA
rnacentral:misc_RNA from 1 species